UACGAAGGGGGGCUAGCGUUGUUUGGAUUUACUGGGCGUAAAGCGCACGUAGGCGGAUCGUUAAGUCGGGGGUGAAAUCCUGGAGCUCAACUCCAGAACUGCCUUCGAUACUGGCGAUCUUGAGUCCGGAAGAGGUGAGUGGAACUCCUAGUGUAGAGGUGGAAUUCGUAGAUAUUAGGAAGAACACCAGUGGCGAAGGCGGCUCACUGGUCCGGUACUGACGCUGAGGUGCGAAAGCGUGGGGGAGCAAACAGG
rnacentral:rRNA from 1 species